AGUGAACGCUGGCGGUAGGCCUAACACAUGCAAGUCGAACGGCAGCACAGUAAGAGCUUGCUCUUACGGGUGGCGAGUGGCGGACGGGUGAGGAAUACAUCGGAAUCUACUUUUUCGUGGGGGAUAACGUAGGGAAACUUACGCUAAUACCGCAUACGACCUACGGGUGAAAGCAGGGGAUCUUCGGACCUUGCGCGAUUGAAUGAGCCGAUGUCGGAUUAGCUAGUUGGCGGGGUAAAGGCCCACCAAGGCGACGAUCCGUAGCUGGUCUGAGAGGAUGAUCAGCCACACUGGAACUGAGACACGGUCCAGACUCCUACGGGAGGCAGCAGUGGGGAAUAUUGGACAAUGGGCGCAAGCCUGAUCCAGCCAUACCGCGUGGGUGAAGAAGGCCUUCGGGUUGUAAAGCCCUUUUGUUGGGAAAGAAAAGCAGCAGGUUAAUACCCCGCUGUUCUGACGGUACCCAAAGAAUAAGCACCGGCUAACUUCGCA
rnacentral:rRNA from 1 species